UGGAUUCUAGUUUUAAAAUUCAUAGCCUUGCGAUAAUUCCAAAUACAUACAUAUGUACAUGGAUUUUUAUCUCGCCUAUAUAUUUAUUCUUUUCAGCUCAGUGUGACAUUGGGACCUUUGGCAACCGCUGGUUACUUGGUGAUAGUGCCUAUCCCAAUAGAGCAUAUUUACUAACACCAGUUUUAAAUCGAAGUAAUAGUUCAGAACAAAAAUACAAUGAUGCUCAUAUUGCAACAAGGAAUCUAAUUGAACGUACUUUUGGUGUAUGGAAGCGUCGUUUCCCAGUUAUCUUUUUGCCUCUGCGCUUGUCACUUGCAAAUGUUCAAGCAGUUAUAAUAGCAACAGCAGUUCUACACAAUAUCUGUAGAAAAUACAACAUGCAAGAAAUGCCUUCAGAAGUAGA
rnacentral:misc_RNA from 1 species